AUGGCCUUUCUCGCACGCGGAGCCGCAUCUCUAACCCGUAUCACCGCGUCCGCUUCCAAAUCUCCGAUUCAACUCGUCCACCGCCGCGGCCUUGCCGGAGCCGCAGAUCCCCAUGCUACCCCUAGAGUUGACAUCUGGAAGGACCCUUUGAGUCCUUCAAAAUGGAAGGAAGAACAUUUUGUGAUUGCCUCGUUAACUGGCUGGGCAGUACUCAUCUAUGGGGGAUACAAGUCAUUUUCCGGAGGCAAGAAAGAAGAGAAACUACCUGAAGCGGCACACUGA